rnacentral:rRNA from 1 species
UACAGAGGGGGCAAGCGUUGUUCGGAAUUACUGGGCGUAAAGGGCGCGUAGGCGGCCUGCUAAGUCGAACGUGAAAUCCCUGGGCUCAACCCAGGAACUGCGUCCGAUACUGGUUGGCUUGAAUCCGGGAGAGGGACGUGGAAUUCCAGGUGUAGCGGUGAAAUGCGUAGAUAUCUGGAGGAACACCGGUGGCGAAGGCGACGUCCUGGACCGGUAUUGACGCUGAGGAGCGAAAGCCAGGGGAGCAAAGCGGG